AACUUUGUCCCUCUUAUUAUAAAACGCGGUAUCAAAUAAGUAUCGGCUUUUGUACUACCUUUAAUCCACCUUUAAGUACGACCUUGAAAAAACGUUAUUACAAAACGCAGUUUAUCGCAAGUCCUAUUACUAUCUGUAGUACAAAAGAUAAACCAUCGAGCCCCCUAGUUUAACUGCAGUACUUAGUCGACAAACGUCAAAUUCCGACAUUAUUUACUUUUGAGGUUAUUUGUUCUGUGAUGAAAAAAACGAAAGUGGAUAUAAAUAUGUGUGAUUUGGAAUACUUGGAUGUGUUAGAAUACUAUUGAGAGGGCCCGGGGACCCAACAGAAUGCGUCAUCGACAAAAUCUCUUCAAAUUACCUGACGACAAUUUUCGAUAUAAAUAUCGAUUUACGUUUUUCGAAAUAAUAGUCAAUUGAAUGCAUGAUGAUAAUCCAGGAUGAUCCUAUGAUGCUCAACUGGGCUCGCCAUAAAAUUCAAGACUAUUUUGGCGUUUUGCACGCCGUAUCUCUGCCAGUAAUAUGCAAUGUUUGUAAAAGACUGGAAGCUUGAUAAAAUGUACAAAAAUGCCUAGAUGAGAAAGGGAACAAGAUUGUGUGAUGAAGAACAGUGUCCAAUAUGUAUCAGUGCAUUUGACUGUAUAAAUAGACAUCGGAAUAAAAUAUAAUUUUCUACU
rnacentral:lncRNA from 1 species